AGCGAACGCUGGCGGCAGGCCUAACACAUGCAAGUCGAACGAACCCUUCGGGGUUAGUGGCGGACGGGUGAGUAACACGUGGGAACGUACCUUUAGGUUCGGAACAACACAGGGAAACUUGUGCUAAUGCCGAAUGUGCCCUUCGGGGAAAGAUUUAUCGCCUUUAGAGCGGCCCGCGUCUGAUUAGCUUGUUGGUGAGGUAAAGGCUCACCAAAGGCUUCGAUCAGUAGCUGGUCUGAGAGGAUGAUCAGCCACACUGGGACUGAGACACGGCCCAGACUCCUACGGGAGGCAGCAGUGGGGAAUCUUGCGCAAUGGGCGAAAGCCUGACGCAGCCAUGCCGCGUGAAUGAUGAAGGUCUUAGGAUUGUAAAAUUACUUUCACCGGGGAAGAUAAUGACGGUACCCGGAGAAGAAGACCCCGGCUAACUUCGUGCCAGCAGCCGCGGU
rnacentral:rRNA from 1 species